rnacentral:rRNA from 1 species
GACGAACGCUGGCGGCGUGCUUAACACAUGCAAGUCGAACGGAAAGGCCCCUUUGGGGGUACUCGAGUGGCGAACAGGUGAGUAACACGUGAGUAACCUGCCCUUGACUUCGGGAUAACUUCAGGAAACUGGGGCUAAUACCGGAUAGGAAUCCUUGCUGCAUGGUGGGGGUUGGAAAGCUUCGGCGGUUUUGGAUGGACUCGCGGCUUAUCAGCUUGUUGGUGGGGUAGUGGCUUACCAAGGCUUUGACGGGUAGCCGGCCUGAGAGGGCGACCGGCCACAUUGGGACUGAGAUACGGCCCAGACUCCUACGGGAGGCAGCAGUGGGGAAUAUUGCACAAUGGGCGGAAGCCUGAUGCAGCAACGCCGCGUGCGGGAUGACGGCCUUCGGGUUGGAAACCGCUUUCAGCAGGGGCGAAGCUUGUGGUGACGGUACCUGCAGAAGAAGCACCGGCUAACUACGUG